UCCUCUACCAACUUUCCUUCUCUGCUGCACUCCACCCAAGACCCUGGGGAAAUCACCAUGAGAACGACCACCGCAAGUGUCUGGACAGUGCAAAGCAAACAUCAUGGAGAGGAGGGGGCCGAGGCCAUGGCAAUGGUGGGUGCAGACUGGGAAAGGCUGAUCGCACAGCUAUGCCCAUCAUAGGUGGCUGGUGGAGGUGGUUUCAUGUUGGCACUGACUGAGUUUCUCUCUUCUGUCAAUCUGUACCCCAAGGCAUUGGGUACCCCAUAACGUUGGGUUUCUGCAGUAGUAGCCUGGAACUCCAAGCUCAACACUUUUUCCCUUGGUUUGUUCAAAACCACAUUGACUGAUUCCAUGUGGUUGCUCCCUUUUGCUUAUUGGUGCUGCUUCUCCAAGGGUCAGGUCUGUCAUCCUGUAAAGCUCAGUGUGGCAGGUUUCUGUUCCUGACCCCGUGUGUGUCACAUCUCCACCCAGCAUUAGAGUCCCUUCUGCCUUUGCACAGUCUUUAACCAUUGGUUUCCAUUCUCUGAUUCCCUUCAAGGACUUUAAACUUCUCCUUAAGCAGGUGGUAACUAAAAGUUGUCUUUCCUUGGAAAAGUUAAGUAACUUGCCCAACAUCACAUUCUUAUGAAAUGGUGGACCUGAGUUUUAUAGCAGCAAGUCUCACUCUGGGGCCUAUGCCUUUUCCUUUUAUGGGGUACCACCUCAUUGUACUUUAGACUACCUUUCUUUUAAGGGAGUAGUGCAGAAGGAGGAGAAGUUACUUGAUUCCAAAUGUUAAUGCCUCCUAGAUCAUACUACCAUUGAUUUAGAUAUAAGUGCUUCUAAUUUUUGCUUUCUAUUCAGCUUUUAUCAAACAGGAAAGUAUUUUCUUUGAAAUACAUCAAUCAGGUCUUGCGUCUUUAGUGUCCUGGUUACUUAAAUUGGCUACACAAAUGAGUGUUACAGGGUGUCUAAUUCCAGAAACAAACUGGAAGUGGGCAACUGAACACUGCCAGGAUCCAUUCUCUCUCUUCCCAUUUUUCUCUUUAAACGUCUGUCUUCCCUUCAUCUCUCAUUGCAGUCCAGCCUUUUCUGCUUGCCAGUCCACAAGGCAGGACACGGAUGCUCCCAGCUCCCAGGCUUCUAUUGCUUCCUUCUAAAACCCACCUAGUCUGUGUAAGGUUGAAAGCACUGGGGGGAGGGGGGAGCACAUCAGACACUGAUGACGUGCCAAAGUCUCUGGCUGCUGCCCCCUCCCAACCUGAAAAAUAUGCCUUAGGCUAGUCAAUCCUCGUGCUGCUGUAAAUCUAAGCUCUGCCUCCCCCUACCUUCUUUAAAAACUCUCUGCCUGUCCACUUUCGCGUGACUUCCCCAGCCUGUGACAGCCAGGUUGUGGAACCUCGCCCGGGGGGCAUUCAAAUAAAUUACCUGGCCCUUUGUUGCCUCUAUUUGCCUGCUUAUUUCGGCUAGAAUUUAUCUUACAUUUGGUGCCGAAAUCCCGGGAAGGAGCAUGAGUGCGGGCCCCGACCGGCCACCGGCAGCCCCGCCCCCUCCUUUCCUGACCCAGGGCCUCAACCUGCUCUCCGCUGCGUGGACUAUUUUCUGAAUAAAAGCACCAACUUUCUGAAGCCCUCUCAACUGACCAGUGAUAGAGACCUACCUGCACCCUUUACUGCGCCUCUUCUCAGCAUGAAGCAGCCAGAGUGGUCAUCGCCCCUUUUCCCUGGCAGCAGCUAGAGUCUCUAUCUGUAGAAGAGAAAAUGAGACAGAAACCAUAAGCUUAGAUGGAGUGAAGUGAAAGCCUCUAAAAAAAUCAGGGUGAGAUAUUUGCAGUCAGAGCAAUAUAACUACAUGCUACGAAACUCCCCCCACUAUGCCCCUUGUCAGCCAGAAGUAGCCAGAUCAAGUCGUCGCCCAUUAUGACCAAAAGGCUGAAAUGUAAGGUUGAAGGCACUGGGGGGUGGGGGGAGCACGUCAGACACCGAUGACAUGCCAAAGUCCCCGGCUGCUGCCCCCUCCCAACCUGAAAAAUGUGCCUUAGGCUAGCCAAUCUUCGCGCCACUGUAAAUCUAAGCUCUGCCUCCCCCUACCUUCUUUAAAAUCUCGCUGCCUGUCUACUUUUGUGUGACUUCCCCGGCCUGUGACAGCCAGGCUGCAGAACCUCGCCCAGGGGCAUUCAAAUAAAUUACCUGGCCCUUU